AAGAAGCAGGGAAGUCUUCCCCAGCCCGUGAGUCCUGCACCCCAUCAAAAUCACCUUGUGGGGAAGCUCUGCAAGCAACUAUAAUUACUUUUGGUGAAAAAAAUUACAGUGAUUUGCAAUACUUGGAAACAUCCCAAAACAAUCCAUAUUAUUGUCAUGAAAACUACAUGGAUGUGUCCAUGUAAAUAACAGGAGCUGUUUGUUCAGAAAACAUCCCUGGGAGCCACUUGAACUUUCACUACCUUUGCCAGCUGAACUCUCUCCCAUAUCACCAAAUUAGGUACCCUUGUUAUGACAAUUUUUUUAAUGACAUGUAAAACUGUCACCAUGGCUAAAAUUGCUUCUGGUGGAACUCCACUUACUACUACAUAAAGGAGAACAAUGGGUGUUUGGUUUUCCCAUCUGGUGGUAGAACACCAUUGGAAAGGGAAAUGCAGCCACCACUGGCUGCACUUUAACCUGACCCACAUUAAACUGUCAGGAAGGCACCACUUCUCUGCUGUCCUUAACCUGGCAUAGUUGAGAUUGGC